ACUGUAUUCAGAUGAAUAUCUUGCAGACCUUUUCUUCAUCCUUAAAGCUGAAGAUCCACUCAGUGCAGGAACUAGGAGUGCUGGGGGUGCUUCCGUACCCCCUGGCUUGAAGUGGUUUCUGUUAUAUACAGGAUUCACAGAUUGGGUCAAUGGCUCUCAGCACCCCCAAUUUACAAAUUGUUCCAGCACCCCUGGGUACACUAGUGAGUAGAGUUGUGCCAGUAGAACAUAACCAUCUGGCUCUUUGGACUGUGGUACCGGUUCAUACUCUAUAGAGUUGAGAAGACUGCAAAAGCUAAAGAAUUUGCAAUCCCUCUGUUACCCAAUCCAGAUCCAGCCCCUUUAAGGACCAGAGUGGACAUCAACUGGACAGACAAAAAGCCUGACAAGCUCCCUCCAUGACCCUCCCUCCUCCCCUGGUAGUGUUUGGUUCUCACAAAGGUGUAAUGUUAAAAUGUCCAGGCAUCACACUGAAAAUGUAUUUCAUAACCUUGCAUUAAGAUCGUCUUGAACAUCGGAGGCAGGGUACUGCCUGCUCUCUCAAAGUCUUGAGACAGUGGAAUGCUCUACUCUUCAUCAUAUGUCAGAGAGAACCUGUGGCAUCCUUCCAGGUACAGAUGGGUGGAUAUUACCAAAAAUAUUCUGGUUGAAUGUUUAAAUGUUUAGGCCAUUCUCAUGCCAUCUUUUAAGUUCACACUAAACACACAUGCUGGAAGUACUUGCACAGUCAUUCAAACAGGCAUGUGACUGAUUUGACCAAUCAGAACAACCACUGAUCAAAUAGCAAAUGUUAAAUACUCUCAGACUCUUGUUCAUAAUGAAUACAGCAGUGGGGGAGUCGGAAUACAAUUUUUUUUUGAAUAAUUUCACACAACAAAUAAAAUCAAGGCGGUCACAGUCUGAUCUCGGAUAUUCCAGGAGCAAAGGAAACAGCUAAGUUUAUUAGAUAAACUAUUUAUUGCAAAUGAUUAAUCUAGCUUGACUUCAAGUUGGAAUUGUUCUAGUUUUGUUGAGAUGUCAUUUUAUUUUUGUACAUUUUAAGAUGGGUCAUGCCAGGUAAUAUCUGACAUUAUAGGUUGUUUGUUUGAACUCUAUACUGGAUAGGAGAUGUAUUUAUUUUGGCCAUGUUGCCAUUGUUUUUCAAAUUUGUUUUAUUUUAUAGUUGUGAUAGGUGCUAUGAAGGUUUGGGACACCAUAUAAUUCAAUCUUGUAACGUUAAUUAUGUGCAUGCACACAUACAUAAAACUACAUUAAAAGCAAUUAUUAAGGUUGGAAAGUCAAGUACUCAAAAGUUAGGAUAUGGCAGAAUUAAGGUAGCCUGUAUAACCUUUAAUCUGGUCCCUUGUGCAUAUGCAUUACAAUACAGUCUUUAAUUACAUGAUCUCAUUAUUUUUUUCCACCCUUGCCUUAUUCAGCACACAGAAUGGACAUGCUCUGGUGGUGGAGCAUGGGUGUGCAGUGUCAUAAAUAUAAAGGGAAGGGUAAACCCCUUUAAAAUCCCUCCUGGCCAGAGGAAAACUCCUCUCACCUGUAAAGGGUUAAGAAGCUAAAGGUAACCUCCCUGGCAUCUGACCAAAAUGACCAAUGAGGAGACAAGAUACUUUCAAAAGCUGGGAGGAGGGAGAGAAACAAAGGGCCUCUGUCUAUAUACUGCUUUUGUCGCGGAUAGACCAGGAAUGGAGUCUUAGAACUUUUAGUAAGUAAUCUAGCUAGGUACGUGUUAGAUUAUGAUUUCCUUAAAUGGCUGAGAAAAGAAUUGUGCUGAAUAGAAUAACUAUUUCUGACUGUGUAUCUUUUUUGUAACUUAAGGUUUUGCCUAGAGGGAUUCUCUAUGUUUUGAAUCUAAUUACCCUGUAAGGUAUCUACCAUCCUGAUUUUACAGAGGGGGAUUUCUUUACUUCUAUUUACUCCUAUUUCUAUUAAAAGUCUUCUUGUAAGAAAACUGAAUGCUUUUUCAUUGUUCUCAGAUCCAAGGGUUUGGGUCUGUGGUCACCUAUGCAAAUUGGUGAGGCUUUUUAUCCAACAUUUCCCGGGGCGGGUGCAAGUGUUGGGAGGAUUGUUCAUUGUUCUUAAGAUCCAAGGGUCUGGGUCUGUAGUCACCUAGGCAAAUUGGUGAGGCUUUUUACCAAACCUUGUCCAGGAAGUGGGGUGCAAGGUUUUGGGAAGUAUUUGGGGGGAAAGAAGUUUCCAAACAGCUCUUCCCCAGUAACCAGUAUUUGUUUGGUGGUGGUAGCGGCCAAUCCAAGGACAAAGGGUGGAAUAUUUUGUACUUUGGGGAAGUUUUGACCUAAGCUGGUAAAGAUAAGCUUAGGAGGUUUUCAUGCAGGUCCCCACAUCUGUACCCUAGUGUUCAGAGUGGGGAAGGAACCUUGACAUGCAAUGUAAGAGACUCUCGUCUGCAGGACCCCUGCUUCAUUUGUUGCAGAAGUUGGAAUUCAAUAAAGUGGGAGAUUGCAGGAAUAGGAAGGAUGGUCUCAUGGUUAAGUGAAUUGAAUGCAGCCGUGGUCAACUGGAUUCUAUUCCUGUCUCUGCCACAGAGUUCCUAUGUGAUGCCAAUAAUGCAGAUAAAAUCAGUUCAGAGUUCUGUUUAGCUACCUUGAAACAAGAUUCUGCAAACAACAUCAUGUGGAACAUAAACUAUUGUGUUUUAAAGGUAUAUUAUUAAUCUUUCAAAACUAAUAUAAUGAAUUACUACUCUGUAGCUCUAUUUACUAACAUUCCAAGGCAAAAAACAAGAAGUAAAUGAUCUAAGUACAGCUAGUACCAAACCAACUGCCAGUUACUUAUCCUAGUCAGCCUUACUAUUUUAACUAAGGCAAGCCUCCACGUUCAACUCAGGAUAGUUAGUCAAAGCUGCCAUUUAAGUCACUGACAGAAGGUCAAUGCAAUGACCCUAUACUAUACAGUGUCAUUAGAAGAUGAUUGCAGGGCAGGAGCUCUGCUGUUGUACACUUUCAUAAGCAAUAUGUUUCUCAUAAGUAGCAGUUCACUUUUACUAAAUGCACUAGAAGAACCUGUUCCUGUUCUUUUGGUAUAAGACAGGAUAUACCACUCAAGGUGGUUAAGCAGCAUAGAGUCAUGUGACAGCUGCAACAUGAGCUGUGUGUUCAUCUCUGCCAAUCCUCCUAUGAGAUAUGGCUAAACGUAUUCCUUCUUUAUGGAAUAUGUGCAAUUCAAUAACUAAAGCUUCUGGCAUUUCUGUUUAGACCUGAUUGGAAAAUGGAAUUUCCACUCCACAAUUUUUUUUUUUAGAUUUUGAAUUUGUUUUGUUCAAAAUUAAGAUUAA